rnacentral:rRNA from 1 species
CCCUUAGAGUUUGAUCCUGGCUCAGAAUCAACGCUGGCGGCGUGCCUAAUACAUGCAAGUCGAACGCGAAAGUCCCGCAAGGGAUGAGUAGAGUGGCAAACGGGUGAGUAACACGUGGGUGACCUGCCUUCGAGUGGGGGAUAACGUCCCGAAAGGGACGCUAAUACCGCAUAACAUCCUGCCUUUUAAGAGGUGGAGAUCAAAGCUGGGGAUCGCAAGACCUAGCGCUGGAAGAGGGGCCCGCGUCCGAUUAGCUAGUUGGUGAGGUAACGGCUCACCAAGGCAACGAUCGGUAGCCGGCCUGAGAGGGCGGACGGCCACACUGGGACUGAGACACGGCCCAGACUCCUACGGGAGGCAGCAGUAGGGAAUUGUUCGCAAUGGGCGCAAGCCUGACGACGCAACGCCGCGUGGAGGAUGAAGAUUUUCGGAUCGUAAACUCCUUUCGAUCGAGACGAAUGGCCUCCGGGUGAAUACCCCGGAGGAAUGACGGUACCGAGAGAAGAAGCCCCGGCUAACUCCGUGCCAGCAGCCGCGGUAAUACGGGGGGGGCAAGCGUUGUUCGGAAUUACUGGGCGUAAAGGGCUC